UACAGAGGUGGCAAGCGUUGUUCGGAAUUACUGGGCGUAAAGGGCGCGUAGGCCGCCUUCUAAGUCAGACGUGAAAUCCCCCGGCUUAACCUGGGAACUGCGUCUGAUACUGGGAGGCUAGAGUGCGGGAGAGGGAUGCGGAAUUCCAGGUGUAGCGGUGAAAUGCGUAGAUAUCUGGAGGAACACCGGUGGCGAAGGCGGCAUCCUGGACCGACACUGACGCUGAGGCGCGAAAGCUAGGGUAGCAAACGGG
rnacentral:rRNA from 1 species